GACGAACCGUGCGAACGUUAUUCGGAAUCACUGGGCUUACAGGGUGCGUAGGCGGCUUGUUAAGUAGGGUGUGAAAGCCCCCGGCUCAACCGGGGAAUGGCGCCCUAAACUGGCGAGCUAGAGUGAGAUAGGGGUGUGUGGAACUUCCGGUGGAGCGGUGAAAUGUGUUGAUAUCGGAAGGAACGCCGGUGGCGAAAGCGACACACUGGAUCUUGUCUGACGCUGAGGCACGAAAGCCAGGGGAGCGAACGGG
rnacentral:rRNA from 1 species